rnacentral:misc_RNA from 1 species
GAGGCUGUUAAUUUUGCCCCUGCCGACUGGUUACCUCAUGGUGGUUUUGGAGCAGAGCUUUACCAACUUUAUCGCAAAGCUGCUGUUUUGUCUCAUGAAGAGCUUCUCUGUGCAGUAGCCCGGAGUGAAUUUGAUAGCAAUGCAGCACCUUACUUAAAAACAGAAUUGGUCAGGGUCUAUUCUAAAGAAAAGUCUUGGAGAGAGCGGCUUUGGAAAAAU